ACAAGCGGAGGAGCAUGUGGUUAAUUCGAUGAUACGCGAGGAACCUUACCUGGGCUCGAACGUAAGAUGACUGUAGGUGAAAGCUUACAUCUCUUCGGAGCAUUUUACGAGGUGCUGCAUGGUUGUCGUCAGCUCGUGCCGUGAGGUGUCGGGUUAAGUCCCAUAACGAGCGCAACCCCUACCUUUAGUUGCCAUCAGGUUAAGCUGGGGACUCUGAAGGAACUGCCUACGCAAGUAGUGAGGAAGGCGGGGAUGACGUCAAAUCAGCACGGCCCUUACGUCCAGGGCUACACACGUGCUACAAUGGCCGAUACAGAGGGCAGCUACCUGGUGACAGGAUGCAAAUCUCCAAAGUCGGUCUCAGUUCGGAUCGGAGUCUGCAACCCGACUCCGUGAAGUUGGAUUCGCUAGUAAUCGCGCAUCAGCCAUGGCGCGGUGAAUACGUUCCCGGGCCUU
rnacentral:rRNA from 1 species